rnacentral:tRNA from 1 species
GAGCAUGUGGCCGAGAGGCGAGGCAACGGCCUGCAAAGCCGUGUACAGGGGUUCGAAUCCCCUCAUGCUCUCCA